UCCGGGCUGGCUCAGUCGCUAGAGCUCAUGACUCUUGAUCUCGGGGUUGUGAGUUCAAGCCCCAUGUCUGGUG
rnacentral:tRNA from 1 species